rnacentral:lncRNA from 1 species
CUCUCACCUCCGAUCCUGGCCAAAACACACCCCUGAGAGGUUAUAGAAUUUAUGAUUACACACAACCCUAAAUUUAUAUUAUUGAAUCAUACUCAACAGCUUAGGAAAUUGACCUUGUUGAUUGAUUGCUUUUGGGUGGGAAAUCGUAGAGGUGACGCCGCAGAUGUAUCGUCAUCAUCUCGUUGUUCAACACUUCAGCUCGGAAUUGGGAUGGCAUGGUUCCUACUUGGGCAUUUUAUCAAACAUGUUGAGAGCAUGGGAAUCAUACAAUUAUUCCUCAAGAACAUUUUAUCAAAUCUGUACAAUUUAACUCAAAUUAUAAUUUAAAAUAUGUGUAAUUCAAGUG